rnacentral:tRNA from 1 species
GCCGGGGUGGCCGAGCGGUCUAAGGCGGCGGGCUGCAGGGCGCUCUCGAGUCAGGGGCUCAGAGACCCGUUUAACCGCGGGUUCGAAUCCCGCCCCCGGCU